ensembl:snRNA U4 U4 spliceosomal RNA
AGCUUUGUAAAGUGGCAGUAUUGUAGUCAAUGAGGUUUAUCCCAGGUUUGAUUAUUGCUAAUUGAAAACAAUGUAAUGUAAAUUUCUAACUCUUGAAAGUUAUUAUUACAA